CCGAGUUAUACAACUCCCAAACCCACUGUGAACCUUACCUUUACGUUGCUUCGGCGGGACCGCCCCGGGACACCUGUGCCCCGGAUCCAGGCGCCCGCCGGAGGCCCCAAAACUCUUUUGUAUACCCCCUCGCGGGUUUUUUAAUAUCUGAGCCAUCUCGGCGCCUCUCGUAGGCGUUUCGAAAAUGAAUCA
rnacentral:misc_RNA from 1 species